rnacentral:rRNA from 1 species
GUGGGGAAUAUUGGACAAUGGGCGAAAGCCUGAUCCAGCCAUGCCGCGUGUGUGAAGAAGGUCUUCGGAUUGUAAAGCACUUUAAGUUGGAAGGAAGGGCAGUAAGCUAAUACCUUGCUGUUUUGACGUUACCGACAGAAUAAGCACCGGCUAACUUCGUGCCAGCAGCCGCGGUAAUACGAAGGGUGCAAGCGUUAAUCGGAAUUACUGGGCGUAAAGCGCGCGUAGGGGGUUUUGUAAGUUGGAGGUGAAAUCCCCGGGCUCAACCUGGGAACUGCCUCCAAAACUACUGUGCUAGAGUACGGUAGAGGGUAGUGGAAUUUCCUGUGUAGCGGUGAAAUGCGUAGAUAUAGGAAGGAACACCAGUGGCGAAGGCGACUACCUGGACUGAUACUGACACUGAGGUGCGAAAGCGUGGGGAGCAAACAGGAUUAGAAACCCCGGUAGUCC